AAGCGUGUGCCAUGGAAGCAUGGCGGCAUUGCCUACUUUACAUCAGCCGCAACCCAUCCCCGCGUGCGCGACGAGCCGACGACGACAGAGGGCGAGAUCAUCAGGAGAAGGAGACCAGCCGGUGGUGCUCUGGGCGCUCCUACUCCUCGUCCUCCUCCCUCUCCCUGGGCACGGCCCCGAACCGCUCCACCAGGAGGUCGGCGACGAUGGGCACCAGGUCCUCGCACGGCACGGCCUUCUUGUACACCCCGGUGAGGUGCGAGUCGCUGCCGAUGCGGCCGCCGACGAAGAUGUCCGCCGCCUCGACGAUCUUGCCGCUGCUGUUCUUGGUGAGGCAGCCCAUGAAGCCGAUGUCGGCCACCUGCACCUGCGCGCAGCUGUUGGGGCACCCCGUCCAGUGCAUGCGCACCGCCUUGGGCACGGACACGCGCGCCUCCACGUCGCGCGUCACCUGCAGCGCCCGCGCCUUGGUCUCGAUGAUGGCCUGCCCGCAGAACUGGUUGCCCGUGCACGCCACCAGCCCCUUCAUCAGCAGCGACGGGUGCGCCGAGAACUUGUGCAGCAGCGGCUCCGCCAGAAGGGCGUCCACCUUCUCGUUCUUCACGUUGGGGAGCACGAUGUUCUGCUCCACGGUGAGGCGGAGCUCGCCGGAGCCGUACUCGUCGGCGAGGCGGGCCAGCUCGAACAUGUCCGCGGCCUGCAGCCGGCCGACGGGCACGUGAAGGCCGACGAAGGAGAGCCCUUCCUGCUUCUGCGGGUGCACGCCGAGGUAGUCGCGCCUCUCCCACUUCUUGUCGAUCAGGUCCUCCGGCGCCGCGCGCUCCAGCACGCCGUUGGGCAUCCUCUUCUCGAUCUCCG
rnacentral:lncRNA from 1 species